AUGCACGCUGGCGGCGUGCCUAAUACAUGCAAGUCGCGCUAACAGACGAGGAGCUUGCUCCUCUGACGUUAGCGGCGGACGGGUGAGUAACACGUGGAUAACCUACCUAUAAGACUGGGAUAACUUCGGGAAACCGGAGCUAAUACCGGAUAAUAUAUUGAACCGCAUGGUUCAAUAGUUAAAGACGGUUUUGCUGUCACUUAUAGAUGGAUCCGCGCCGCAUUAGCUAGUUGGUAAGGUAACGGCUUACCAAGGCAACGAUGCGUAGCCGACCUGAGAGGGUGAUCGGCCACACUGGAACUGAGACACGGUCCAGACUCCUACGGGAGGCAGCAGUAGGGAAUCUUCCGCAAUGGGCGAAAGCUUGACGGAGCAACGCCGCGUGAGUGAUGAAGGUCUUCGGAUCGUAAAACUCUGUUAUUAGGGAAGAACAAAUGUGUAAGUAACUAUGCACGUCUUGACGGUACCUAAUCAGAAAGCCACGGCUAACUACGUG
rnacentral:rRNA from 1 species